UGCGAAAGGGAAUCUGGUUCAUAUUCCAGAACCUGGUACCGGAACCGUAUCACUAGUCGGGCUCUCAUUUCGAGAAUUCGUCGGGGUAACCCAAAAGAACCUGGAGACGCCGUCGAGAGGUCCUGGAAGAGUUUUCUUUUCUGUAUAAGCGUUCGAGUUCCAUGGAAUCCUCUAGCAGGGAGAUAUGGUUUGGAACGCGAAGAGCACCGCAGUUGCAGCGGUGUCGGGAUCUUCUCCUCGGACCUUGAAAAUCCAGGGGAGGGCCACGUGGAGCGUCGGACCAGAUCGUACCCAUAUCCGCAGCAGGUCUCCAAGGUCAAUAGCCUCUAGUCGAUAGAAUAAUGUAGGUAAGGGAAGUCGGCAAAUUCGAUCCGUAACUUCGGGAUAAGGAUUGGCUCUGAGGAUCGGGGCGUGUCGGGCUCGAAAGGAAAGCGGUCGGCUGCUCGUGGGACUGGGCUGUAGCGGUAAAACGCCGAGCUCGGUCCCGUCUUGUGGUAUCACCCGUGGAACUUUCGUUGCUAUUGAGGGCCCGUUGUUUCGGUCCACGCAAGUGGAUUGGACGCGGGAUCACCCUCGUCGGCCGCCAUUUAACGAUUAACUCAGAACUGGCACGGACCCGGGGAAUCCGACUGUCUAAUUAAAACAAAGCAUUGCGAAGGCCCUAGCGGGUGUUGACGCAAUGUGAUUUCUGCCCAGUGCUGUGAAUGUCAAUAUGAAGAAAUUCAAGAAAGCCCCAGUAAACGGCGGGAGUAACUAUGACUCUCUUAAGGU
rnacentral:rRNA from 1 species